AGCAGACACUGCGGUACAGACGGGGGCAGCGGCGGCGGCGGCGGCUGCACCGGCGGCGGCGGCACCACACAAACAAGGACGCUGAUUGGGCAGCUGCCAAGCGCCUCGGCCCCGCCUUACCCACACGCCACGACGCCCAUUGGGCGACCUAAGCCGGCCACCCCGCCCUCAUCUUCUCGGCCAUACCAAUAGAAGACUAGAUGCUGUGACUUCACCCCACCCUUGAAGAAUGAGUGGCCGGAGAAGCGAUGAUUGGCGUGCUUAAAACCCAAUCAUAAACGGAGGAGGGGGGAUGGUCUAGCGGGGGCGCGUUAAUGGGUACCUCGGCCAGUCCCAGACACAUCCGGGUCUUCGACAGCCCAUUAAGUGUCGGGGGUCAAAAAAUCGCUUCAGGCUGCAACUUUACCUUAGAGACGUUUUAGUCCCCAGGCAGCCGCCGUACCCCAGGCUCUCCAAACCGGGAUUCCCCUUUGGCCAGCUCUCAUUCUUUCAAUUCUAAAGAUGGAGACUGGCGAACGGCGCUGGGGUCUGCGGUGGGCGGUGUUUCGUCGCGACAGAAUCUAGGAAUUUCACGAUGGAACUAGCUUUAGGCGCUUGGGCCUUGCCGUCUUUUUGGGGUGUGGCCUGUCUUCGUCUGCCAAAAGCUUUGAGCUUCCUGGUGUUCGUCGUACCUCCGCUUGGUCCUGUCGUGACUAAACCACGACAGCGGGGAAAAAAAAAAAAAAAAAAAAAAAGGCAGCUAGCCAAAUUACUGAGGAAUUACAGUGUGUGCACAGCCCUCGCAGCUCCUUCUCUUGGGAACUGCUGGUCUGGUUAGGUUCUAAGCGAGGAGUCUUCCACCCCGCCCGAUUCCACCUAAUCAGCUCAAGGGCCAGCUCCUCUUGCUGCCCUCCCUACUUCCCCGGAGCAGUUAGGCCCCCUAUGCUCAGCGUUUGUGGAGCACCUGAGGAUAGGGACCAAGUAACAGAGUCCAGGUGUUAAGUCCAAUGCAUUGUUUGCUGUCUGAAAUGCCAUCCUUCAAGGGCUUUGAGGAGAUAUGGUGGUGGACUAUACCAGCCCCAGGACAAUAAUAAGGUCCAAGAAAAUACUUUUCAACAAGACCAAAAUUAGACCAUGGAGGGGGACUUUCAGUCUGGAGUGAUGGAGCUCUAAGGAAGACAAGUACAUGAGCUCCUCAAAGACACUGGAAAAGCAUCCUAACAUGCUCUAGACAGAACAGGAAAGGGUCCUUUGGCUUGAAAGAAUCAGCAUCCAGAAGUAGUACCUCACUCUUCAUCCAGUGAUCUCCAUCCCUGAGAAAUGUGCUCUCCUAAAUUAUUUCCUCCAUUGAUAUGCCUGCUCUCCUUCCCCAAGGCAUUUGUUUUGUUGGCUAAUUCCCUUUGGUAAUUGGUUUAUCACUCUGUUAGGAGUCGUUUCCUGUGUUUAUUUCAUUAUACAGUCAAAAAAAAAAAAAAAAGAGAGAGAGCCCUUGAGUGGACCGAAGGGAUAAGGAAAAUGGUGCAUGUUUUCCUGAUGUCUACGUGCAGCAAGUGCCUUAAUCUUUGCCCCUGUCUUCCUGGUGCUGUUGCCAGGCUGAGACCCUGGUUGGAGGAAUAGAGCCUGCAGCUAGAGCAACUAAGGCAGCCUAGGAUGACUGCCAGGUCCCCCAGGAUGCAUGAGGGCUGCCCACACCAACUACUGGGGAGAGGAUUGUUAUUCCUUUGGAGGUGCUGGAGAAGGUUGGUGGGGGGAAGGUGGAAGAGAGGAAAUAAGGCAGAGAUGAGCUCAGGGUCCCCAGAGAAUGGAGCCUUUGUGUGGGGUACAGAUGAGGGACAAGGGGGUGAUUGUGUGGGAAGGCCGGAAGUGCCACAUAGACUGGCACCACCAUAGUCAGCACCAGAUUCACCCUUCUGCUCUAAGAACUCCCUGUGCCCCAAGGGGCCAGUCCCAGACAUGGUCAGGGGAAGCAGGGUAUGCCUGAAG